rnacentral:rRNA from 1 species
UGAGGAAUAUUGGUCAAUGGGCGAGAGCCUGAACCAGCCAAGUAGCGUGCAGGAUGACGGCCCUAUGGUUUGUAAACUGCUUUUAUGUGGGGAUAAAGUGCGUGACGUGUCAUGCAUCGCAGGUACCACACCAAUAAGGACCGGCUAAUUCCGUUCCAGCAGCCGCGGUCAUACGGAAGGUCCGGGCGUUAUCCGGAUUUAUUGGGUUUAAAGGGAGCGUAGGCUGUCUAUUAAGCGUGUUGUGAAAUUUACCGGCUCAACCGGUGGCUUGCAGCGCGAAAUGGUCGACUUGAGUAUGCAGGAAGUAGGGGGAAUUCAUGGUGUAGCGGUGAAAUGCUUAGAUAUCAUGACGAACUCCGAUUGCGGAGGCAGCUUACUGGAGCAUAACUGACGCUGAUGCUCGAAAGUGCGGGUAUCAAACAGG